rnacentral:rRNA from 1 species
GACGAACGCUGGCGGCGUGCCUAAUACAUGCAAGUUGAGCGAUGAAGAUUGGUGCUUGCACCAAUUUGCAGAGCAGCGAACGGGUGAGUAACGCGUGGGGAAUCUGCCUUUGAGCGGGGGACAACAUUUGGAAACGAAUGCUAAUACCGCAUAACAACUUUAAACAUAAGUUUUAAGUUUGAAAGAUGCAAUUGCAUCACUCAAAGAUGAUCCCGCGUUGUAUUAGCUAGUUGGUGAGGUAAAGGCUCACCAAGGCGAGGAUACAUAGCCGACCUGAGAGGGUGGUCGGCCACAUUGGGACUGAGACACGGCCCAAACCCCUACGGGAGGCAGCAGUAGGGAAUCUUCGGCAAUGGACGAAAGUCUGACCGAGCAACGCCGCGUGAGUGAAGAAGGUUUUCGGAUCGUAAAACUCUGUUGGUAGAGAAGAACGUUGGUGAGAGUGGAAAGCUCAUCAAGUGACGGUAACUACCCAGAAAGGGACGGCUAACUACGUG